rnacentral:snoRNA from 2 species
AUCUUUUUAUAUAGUCCAUAAGCAUAAUCAUUGGGUGGUGUUCAUACCAUUGUGUGACAUGUGCCUCCCUCAAACCAUGUUUGUGACCUCGGUGCAUCACCUGUCUGAUG